CUACGGGUUGCAGCAGUGGGGAAUAUUGCACAAUGGAGGAAACUCUGAUGCAGCAACGCCGCGUGGAGGAUGACACUUUUCGGAGCGUAAACUCCUUUUAUAUAGGAAGAAGAUGACGGUACUAUAUGAAUAAGCGCCGGCUAACUCCGUGCCAGCAGCCGCUGUAAUACGGAGGGCGCAAGCGUUACUCGGAAUCACUGGGCGUAAAGAGCGUGUAGGCGGAUUAAAAAGUCAGAAGUGAAAUCCUAUAGCUUAACUAUAGAACUGCUUCUGAAACUCUUAAUCUAGAAUAUGGGAGAGGUAGAUGGAAUUUCUGGUGUAGGGGUAAAAUCCGUAGAGAUCAGAAGGAAUACCGAUUGCGAAGGCGAUCUACUAGAACAUUAUUGACGCUGAGACGCGAAAGCGUGGGGAGCAAACAGGAUUAAAUACCCCUGUAGUC
rnacentral:rRNA from 1 species